rnacentral:rRNA from 1 species
GGGGGAGCAAGCGUUGUUCGGAUUUACUGGGCGUAAAGGGCGCGUAGGCGGUCAGCACAAGUCAGUUGUGAAAUCUCCGGGCUUAACUCGGAAAGGUCAACUGAUACUGUGCGACUAGAGUGCAGAAGGGGCAACUGGAAUUCUCGGUGUAGCGGUGAAAUGCGUAGAUAUCGAGAGGAACACCUGCGGCGAAGGCGGGUUGCUGGGCUGACACUGACGCUGAUGCGCGAAAGCCAGGGGAGCGAACGGGAUUAGAUACCCCGGUAGUCCUGGCCUUAAACGAUGGAUGCUUGGUGUCUGGAGUUAUAUAGUCUCCGGGUGCCGCAGCUAACGCGUUAAGCAUCCCGCCUGGGGAGUACGGUCGCAAGACUG